ACCAACAACUAUAUCACCCUGCAACUCACAACUGGCAGCCCACUAAAGCAAAGCAGGUGAGAGCCUGGUCAGUACCUGGAUGGGAGACCUCCUGAGAGAGCUAAGGUUGCUGCUGGAA
rnacentral:rRNA from 1 species